UUGAAUAAAUCUGGCGUGGUUGUAGCUGGCUCUUAGGAGCAUGUGCACGCCCGUCAUUUUUAUCUUUCCACCUGUGCACCCUUUGUAGAUCUGGAUAACCCUCGCUUACCCAAGCGGAUGCAAGGAUUGCUGUGUCGAAAGGCCGGCUCUCUUUGAAUUUCCAGGUCUAUGUCUUUUUACACACCCCAAUUGAAUGUUGCAGAAUGUAGUCAAUGGGCCUUCACAAGCCUAUAAAACUCAAUA
rnacentral:misc_RNA from 1 species